AACGCACAUUGCGCCCGCCAGCAUUCUGGCGGGCAUGCCUGUCCGAGCGUCAUUUCCACCCUCGAGCCCCUGUGGCUCGGUGUUGGGGAUCCCCUACGGCUCGCCGUAGGGGCCCCGAAAUACAGUGGCGGACCCUCUAGCACUUCCGGGCGCAGUAGUUACAUCUCGCCUUCUGGGGGGGCUUCAGGCGUUCACGACCUUAGACCAGCGCUGCCUACGGGCGGCCUACAGCAAGGUUGACCUCGGAUCAGGUAGGAAUACCCGCUGAACUUAA
rnacentral:misc_RNA from 1 species